AGAGAGAGAAACUUUCACAGCCCUUCAUUCCCACCCAAAAACCCCUCAUCAAACUUCAAAGGGCAUCAAAACGUGACCCCCUCCCUCUCUCUCUCUCUCUCUCUCUCUCUCACAGAUAACAUAGUUUUUGAAUACAAUAAAAAGAACCCAGAGAGACUUACAAACCCCUCUCUCUCUCUACAAAAACCAACCCCAAGCCAAAACCCUUGUGUUUCUCUCUCUCUAGAAAUGGAGUCACUGGACUCACUCGACGACAUCCUCAACUUCCACUCCGACGACGCCGGCGCGGAAGAUAAAGCCCAUGACUUUAAACCCUCCAUUGCUCCCUCUGGGGUUUUGUGCCCUGAUGAUCCUAGCCGUCCGUUUUCUCAAACAGAGGAGGGUGUGGAGGAGGAGCUAGAAUGGCUGUCAAACAAAGACGCGUUCCCGGCGGUGGAGACAUUCGUUGACAUUAACCUUCUGAUCGGGCAACCAGCGGGCAUUGGCACGGACAAGCACCAAAGCCCUGUCUCGGUGCUUGACAACGGCACAACCCCCACCACCACCCUCAUGAGCAGCUGUGGGACACUCAAGCCCCCUCAGGGUGCCCGAAGCAAGGGCCGCCGUAGGCGCGAAAGCUCCAGCUUCCCAGGCACUCUUGAGGAGCACGUCUUUUGGAGCCAAUCUAACAACUGCAAAAAGGAUGACAAGACAAUAGUGAAAAGAACAACAGGGAUGGCGAUGAUUGGGAGAGUAUGCCAGCAUUGCGGGGCUGAUGAGACCCCACAAUGGAGGGCAGGUCCCCUUGGACCGAAAACCCUGUGUAAUGCUUGCGGGGUAAGGUACAAGUCCGGAAGGCUUGUUCCUGAGUACCGCCCUGCAAGUAGCCCAACUUUUUCAAGCAAGUUGCAUUCGAAUUCACACAGGAAGAUAAUGGAGAUGAGGAAGCAAAAGCACGGGACGGGGAUGUCAGCUUAGCCUGAGGAUGAUGGGUAGGCUAAUUGUGGGUAGUCGACUUUUUUCCGUUUUAAGAUUAAUUUGGAGCUUGUAGGGUUGCUGUAAUGGGGGUUUAAUGGUGGUUAGUGUUUGCUCCUUGUUUUGAUGAAAUGACCACAGCUAGCUUCCCAGGCGAUUCAGGGGAGCAGCUCUUUUCGAACCAAGCCCACAAGGACAGCAAGGAUGGCCGGAUAAAAGCUAAACAGCAAGGACAACAAUUGGGAGAAAAUGUCAGCAUUGCGGGAUUUAAAAGACCCUGCGAUGGCGGGCAGCUCUCAUUGGAAAGUAAACCUUGCGUAAUUCUUGUGGGAUUAGGUACAAGUCUGAGAUGAUUGUCAGAAAAUGCCAGCACUGCAGGACCAAAGAGACCCUGCAAUGGCUGGCAAGCUCCACUGGAAAGAAAACCUUGUGUGAUGUUGCCGUGUUAGGUACAAGUCCAAGAUGAUUGGGAGAAAAGGCCAGCAUUGCGGGACUGAAACGACCCCUCAAUGGCGACCAGGUCCCCAUGGAAAUAAAACCUUGUGUGAUGCUUGUGAGGUUAGGUACCGAAAGUCUGGGAAGCUUGUCCCAGAAUACUGCCCUGCAAGUAGCCCAACUUUCUCGAGGGAGUUGCAUUCGAAUAACCUCAGCAAGGUAAUGGUGAGUACGCAUUUUCGUGUUGUUUCUUUAUAAGGGUUAGUUCUGUGUUUCAUUGCGUUUUUACUUGGCUAAACUUUAACUCUGAUGCAUGGUAGUAUUGCGAAAAUCUCAUUGGUCUUGCGAUUCAUGAAGUCGGAAGCGUUUUUUCUUGACUUAAAAUGUCGAAUUCCCUUGUUUGCUUAAUUAGAAUUUGGGCCAUGUGGUUGGGGCAUUUCCGUUUGUUGUCUGGGCUGAUCUAGACUUGUUAGUUUGGGCUAGACUUUCUUAUGUUGGACAAUGCAGUAUUCUAAACUACGAUGAGAGGAAUUCGAAUUUGA